rnacentral:misc_RNA from 1 species
ACAAAUUUAAACACACCAUACUAGCUUCAGCUGCGCAGCUUCUUUUACUAUCAACUGCUUCGCAGUUGUACCGUAAGAAUAGAGCAGUGUAGCAGUAGCCAGUAAAAAUGGUAAACACGAUAUAUGUUGACGAACACAGACACAAUAUAAAA